UACGGAGGGUGCAAGCGUUAUCCGGAUUCACUGGGUUUAAAGGGUGCGUAGGUGGGCAGGUAAGUCAGUGGUGAAAUCUUUGGGCUUAACCCGAAAACUGCCAUUGAUACUAUCUGUCUUGAAUAUUGUGGAGGUCAGCGGAAUAUGUCAUGUAGCGGUGAAAUGCUUAGAUAUGACAUAGAACACCAAUUGCGAAGGCAGCUGGCUACGCAUAUAUUGACACUGAUGCACGAAAGCGUGGGGAUCAAACAGG
rnacentral:rRNA from 1 species